ensembl:lincRNA
UGGCCUCCUCCUGCCAGGUCCGCUCCCUUGUCCUCCCCGAGCGGCGGCCCCAGCUGUGGAGCACAUGGGGCUUUCCCACACCUGGUCUCCGUGGCCCGAGGCUGUGACCCCGUUACAGGGUCCCAGCCAGAGUGUCACCCAGCCAGACGCCGGCCACCAGCUGCAUCUGGGUCAUCGGGGCGGCAGGCUGGGGUACAGCUCUCUGGGACCCCUGCCAGACCGGGCUGGGAGCCAGGUCCCAAAGCUCUGCCUGCAAGGCUGCUGCUAAGCCCUGCUUCUGGGGCAGCACUGGCCACAGCUGGCCAUGACCUUGCCACGCGUGGGAGUGCAGAAGGGCACCCAACCCCACCUGGAGCUGUCAAGACCCUGGCUCCCGGCUGGGGAAGGGGGAAGAGAAGGAUGUGCGUAGAGCAGCAUGCACACUGCCACAUCCCUGAGCCUGUUUUCUUCUGCUGCCUGGAGACCUACACCAUGGCGGCCCCCAGGACAGCGUGGCAGCCCAAAGGGACCCCGCUGGGGGCAAGGCCGAUCUACAAACGGUCAUCAAACCCUCAUCAUUUCAGCAGCUUCUGUGAGAGCCCGUCCUAGCCCUGCCAUGAAUUCAGUGAACACAAACGGACGGGGGUGCACAUCGAGAAUCCCAGCAACUGCGGGGCUGAGGCAGGAAGAUCGCCACAAGUUGGAGGCCAGCUUGGCCUCAAACCGCCUCAAAGCCCUAUCUCAAAAACAAAAAUCAGUGCACGCGCAGCUCUCCGGGAGCCCCAGGGAGCUCACACUCCUGAGCGCUCAGUUUCUUUCUCUAUUUUUGCCACAUAGAGAUGACAGUUCGUUGUUUCACCUUGACACAGAAGAGAAACAAUGUAAAGAGAGUGCUAUUAUCACGCGACUUCCUUCCCCAGCACCGCUACUCCGUCAUCCCUUCGACACCGGCUUCCUGGGGUGGACCACUGACUAUAAAUUUUAUUUGGCUGCCAUUUCUCUUGUGACUGAAACCUUAGCCCUUGAUCAAGAUUUCAGAUUAUCCUAAUGAAGGCGUUUCCUUAGUUUAAAAAAAUACUGCCUGUAAUCCCAGCACUUGGGAGACCGAGGCAGGAAGAUCCCUAUGAGUUCAGGGCCAGCCUGAAUUGGAUAGUGAGACCCUGUCUGAAAAAGACCAAAAAAAAACCCAAAAAGAACAAAAACCCCGAAGAUUUAAAAAUCCUUUAUUGAACAUUUCCUAAAUAUCUGGACUCUUUGAGACUAAUGAAAAGUCCAGUUUUUAUCAGCAGUAACUUAAUCUUGCAGGUAGACAAAGACGGGUCUCUUCUUUUGGUCUAAUUUACCCUAACAGCAGAGAGGGCGGGGCUGAUGGAGCAGGCCGGCUGUCUGGGCUGGUGACCCAGGAAGAGAGGCAGUGCCUGCCUUAGUGCUCUCCGUGGACUCAGGCUCGUCAGGUUGCCCGGGCUGUAAUGAUCUAUAUUUAACUGCAAGUUUAAUGAACUACUUAGGCUCACUUUAAAAUGUCACUGAUUUUGUUUGCAUAGCCACCCUCGGCUGUGCGCUCCUAUUUUUAGGACCCGGCUUCUCUGCACACUCAGUUCCUCUACAGCGCGGCAGGGCUGGGGCAGCGCCCCGACUCUCCCGAGCAGCGGCGAGCGGGGCCUGAGCCGGGGCUCCGCCUGCCCCGCCCAGCACUCCUCAAGAGCGCAGCCGGUGCUCCUACACCCCCGAGGGAACCCGGCGCCUCUGGGUAGCUUCUGCAUGCUUGUCCCGGUGCUGCCAACCUCUUGAUUUGGAUGGAUUUUAACCCAGAAUGACUCUCACUAGAACACAUCAAAGGGCGUGGAAGCGCAUGGCCAGCUCAGGCCGCUGCAGGAGGGCAGGUGCCCAGGGAGACGCGGGGGCCGGCUGGGGCGGUGAGGAGCAUCCCGUCGCAGUGGCGGUGGUCCCCACGGCGGAGGAGGCCCGUGGGAGGGACCGCAGCUGCACAGUCCGGGCUGGCGCGUCGGCCCGGGUGAGGUGGGGAGCAGCUCCUAAGAGCGGCCAGUGGUUCGAUUCCUUAGAAAUCAGAAAAGUAUGCACUAUUAUUUAUUUGGCAAAAUAAUCUAUUACUGUUAACAAGAGAGGAAC